rnacentral:rRNA from 1 species
AUUGAACGCUGGCGGCAGGCCUAACACAUGCAAGUCGAGCGCGCGGCGGACGGGUGAGUAAUGUCUGGGAAACUGCCUGAUGGAGGGGGAUAACUACUGGAAACGGUAGCUAAUACCGCAUACCAUCAGAUGUGCCCAGGUGGGAUUAGCGGGUGGGUGGGGUAACGGCUCACCUAGGCGACGAUCCCUAGCUGGUCUGAGAGGAUGACCAGCCAAACUGGAACUGAGAAACGGUCCAGACGCCUACGGGAGGCAUCAGUGGGGAAUAUUGCACAUUGGGCGAAAGCCUGAUGCAGCCAGGCCGCGUGUGUGAAGAAGGCCUUCGGGUUGUAAAGCACUUUCAGCGGGGAGGCGUUACCCGCAGAAGAAGCACCGGCUAACUCCGUGCCAGCAGCCGCGGUAAUUC